rfam:Stegodyphus mimosarum contig43039, whole genome shotgun sequence.
GCCCUUGUGGUGUAGUGGUCAGCACACUCGGCGCGUAUUCGAGAGGCCGGUGGUUCGAGUCCCGGCGAGGGCA